UACGUAGGGUGCGAGCGUUAAUCGGAAUUACUGGGCGUAAAGGGUGCGCAGGCGGUUUUGUAAGCCAGAUGUGAAAUCCCCGGGCUUAACCUGGGAAUGGCAUUUGGGACUGCAAGGCUUGAGUGCGGCAGAGGAGACUGGAAUUCCUGGUGUAGCAGUGAAAUGCGUAGAUAUCAGGAGGAAUACCGAUGGCGAAGGCGAGUUUCUGGACAGAUUCUGACGCUGGAGGCACGAAGGCCAGGGGAGCAAACGG
rnacentral:rRNA from 1 species